rnacentral:rRNA from 1 species
UACGUAGGCAGCAAGCGUUGUUCGGAAUUACUGGGCGUAAAGAGUGUGUAGGCGGUGCUCUAAGUCUGGUGUGAAAUCUCCCGGCUCAACUGGGAGGGUGCGCCGGAAACUGGAGUGCUCGAGUGUGGGAGAGGUAAGCGGAAUUCCUGGUGUAGCGGUGAAAUGCGUAGAUAUCAGGAGGAACACCGGUGGCGAAGGCGGGUCUCUGGGCCGAAAUUGACGCUGAGGAGCGAAAGCGUGGGGAGCAAACAGG